GGUGGGGUUCCCGAGCGGCCAAAGGGAGCAGACUGUAAAUCUGCCGNNUCUGCCGUCAUCGACUUCGAAGGUUCGAAUCCUUCCCCCACCACCA
rnacentral:tRNA from 1 species